CCUUUUUUUUGGAACCGACAACCAUAGACGGCGGACUUUCUUUGGAUUGCGAAAGUUGAAUAGAUUGGCAUUUCUUAUGUAUGGUGCUACUUCGCCUGUGCAAAAUGUCCAAGCAAACUUCAACGUGAGUUGAUAUCAUUUACUUGCGGAGCAUGUCAUAAUGAGAAUGACGAUGGGGUUAUAAGGUACCGUGUGCAGCUUUCAGUGUCAGAUGGCUCGGAGAACAGUGAAUGUCUGUUCAGCCUGCUUUAGGCAGAGUCACAGUACUGAGUAGA